UAUUGUAUUAUACUAGUACUUCAGUACUAUCAGUCCUUACUGUAUUAUACUAGUGCUUCAGUACUAUCAGUCUCUAUUGUAUUAUACUAGGACUUCAGUACUAUCAGUCUCUAUUGUAUUAUACUAGUACUUCAGUACUACCAGUCUCUAUUGUAUUAUACUAGUACUUCAGUACUAUCAGUCUCUAUUGUAUUAUACUAGGACUUUGGUACUAUUUUAUUAUUCUAGUGCUUCAGUACCUAUUGUAUUAUACUUGCACUUCAGCACUAUCAGGGUGGUACUGAGAGUGCACUGUGUGUGAAGGUGCUUACUCUUGUGUGAAGGAGGUUUUUGUACGGCGGCUUCACCACAAUGAAUCACUGUGGUGGACAUUUGGAAGCGGCACAAAACUGGUGGUGAAAACUGGACCCUCUGUCAGGCCCAAAGUGUCUCUGUUCCCCCCGUCCUCUGAGCAGCUCUCCGAGGGCUCGGCCACACUGGCCUGCCUGCUGAGUGACUACUCCCCCCAGGGGGCGAUGGUGAGCUGGGAGGUAGACGGGGCAGAGGUGAAGGAGGGGGUCCUGACCACCACAGAAGAAGAGAAGGGUGGCCGCUACAGUUGCAGCAGCACCCUGACCCUGAGCAAGGCACGCUGGGAAGAGGGAGAGGUCUACACCUGCAGGGUCGCCCACGACGACACCAGUGACUCAGCCGCCUUCCGGAAAAGUCACUGUAGUGUGUAGAAGCCAUUGUAGGGGGCUAGAGAUUCCCCACAUGGUGCAAAACAUUCGUGUUUUAGAGCUGAAUGUUCCAGUAUAAUAGUGAAGAAUAUCAGUAGUGCAGUGUGCUAAACUAUUUUGAGAUUUAGUUGUACAUGUCGUCUUGCCUUCAAGUUCAAAUAAAGCUUGUUUUGAUUAAAAAA